GAUGAAAUAACAGAAGUUUCCUGCAGUCCCCGGUGCAGAAACUCUGGCCACGGCGGGGAUUUAUUCACUCUGCGAGGAGGGGAGGAUGUUCACGGUGCUCAUGUGAGGUUGUCACAGAGACACGGCGGGUCCUGCGAUAAGGGGAGGAUGUUAUCGGCUCACACGCUCUGAGAUGUUGGCUCCUGCCUUGACUGUUUGUCGCCCUCCUGCUCGGCAAAAGGCAGCGCCCGGUUUGUCCCUGCCUUCCUUCCCUCGGCGUGCCCGGCAUCUCGGCGAGUCCUCAGCCGGCCUGAGAUGAGGCAGCCUCCUCCCGGGAAUGGGCAUCUGAAGUCUCCAUCGUCAUCAAAUACAACUCCUGUCAUUCUCCUCUUCCAUUCACCUACCCAAAGACCAAAUCUGGAAAUAGUAACCAAAAGAGAAGCCCACGUCACACACAGAGCAGGGAAAGGUUGAAAUAAUUGAAGGGUUGGCCAGAUGCACUGGGGCAUGGAGUGAACAGAAAGAGGUUAAAUUGAUGGAUGACCAACAAGAGCAGGAUUGUGCCUCAGAAGACCAAGAAACUAUCCUGAUUAAUGGGGUGAAAGAAAAUGGUAAGGAACUUAAUUAUGGUACAUGAGGGAGCAGCGACAACUUGGAAGCCAACUUAUUUUCCUAAUUCCUUUUGUGCAUUUAAUAUGAGCAGUUU
rnacentral:lncRNA from 1 species